rnacentral:rRNA from 1 species
UACUCCCCUAUAACUCUGGUUGAUCCUGCCAGAGGCCACUGCUAUUGGAAUGCGACUAAGCCAUGCGAGUCAAGGGGCUCUUCGGAGCACCGGCGUACGGCUCAGUAACAUGUGGGUAACCUACCCUCAGGUGGGGGAUAACCUCGGGAAACUGAGGCUAAUACCCCAUAGAUAAAAGAUACUGGAAUGUUCUUUUAUCAAAAGCUCCGGCGCCUGAGGAUGGGCCUGCAUCCGAUUAGGUAGUUGGUGAGGUAACGGCUCACCAAGCCUGCGAUCGGUACGGGUCGUGAGAGCGAUAGCCCGGAGAUGGGGACUGAGACAAGGCCCCAGGCCCUACGGGGCGCAGCAGGCGCGAAACCUCUGCAAUGUGCGAAAGCAUGACAGGGGCAUUCCAAGUGCUCUUGUUUUACAAGAGCUUUUCUCCGGUCCAAGACGCCGGAGGAAUAAGGGCUGGGUAAGACCGGUGCCAGCCGCCGCGGUAACACCGGCAGCUCGAGUGGUGGCCGCUAUUAUUGGGCCUAAAGCGUUCGUAGCCGGGCAGGUAAGUGCUCUGGUAAAUCCCAUAACUUAAUUAUGGGGCUUCAGAACAUACUGCCUGCCUUGAGACCGGGAGAGGCUGGAGGUACUUU